CACAAAUGCUAAUGAACUUUGCAAUAAAUUAUAAUUACAUCUCAUAAAGCUUGUUUUAUUUGAAAGUAGUUAGGAAAUGAAUUCAGUAUGAAGAUAGUAAGUAUGCUACUAAAAUGCCUGUUAGAUUUUAAUCCUUUUGUUCAGUUAUAAUAAUGCAAUAUUGAGAAUCAAAACUUGUUUUUAAGAGGACUAUAGGUUCAACACAGCCUAAAUUUGAGAUAAUUCACAAUGUUUAAAGUCUGUCUUGACAAAGUAAUUGUAAAGUUUUGUAGGAUCCUAUUCAUACUUCUUCCUUCCUCCAUAUACCUCUCUGUUUCUCCCCACAGUUCCCAAGAGCUUCAAGAUUUUGGAGGGACAGGGAUGGAGUCAGAAGGAGAACUUGAUAGUUUCUUAGUGUCAUGGCAUACAUGGUGGUGUAGGGUAAAGUCUAAAAUAGUAAUUACAGUGUAGCAAAAAAGUAUUUUCCUAGAUGGUUUAGAUGCAAGUGCAAACACAGAUGUAGAAAGUCUUGAUUAUAUGAGUUUGGGAACUAUGAUAUUAGGAAAAGAAGUUCUCUUCCAAACUUGUUUAAAAGCCUUUUGGCUCAACUGAAGUAUUAAACAUAUUUAAAAAAUAGUUAUCCAGUAAGUUUUAGAGGAUAUUAGCCAAGGAUUUUAUGGCUAAUUGUUCCUCUGAUGUGCAGAUGCAUAUCCUAACUGGAUGUUUCUGGUUUGGCCAUUUACAUGAGAGUGGUGUGUCUGUUCUCUCCAUACAUUUAUACCUUAACUCUGCUAUACCUUUGAACAGUGAUUCGUAUUAAUUCACAGAGCUAUUUGUGGUUUGGGGACUGAAUGUCUUUAAUUGGUAGUUUCCCAAAAAAAGGCUCCCCUCUCCCACGCUCUAAUUGUUAUAUUUUACUGUUUCAUUUGGAGGUGGGUUUUACUUUAUAAAAUGAAAAUUUCAUGUUUCAUAUUGUAUCCACGUUUGUACAGAUUUCAAAAUGAUGUUAAUUUGUGUCAUUUACUAUGUUGAUAAGGCUUAAAUACACACCAGUGGAGAAGGGUUUUCUAAGCUACUCAUCCUGUUAAAGAUGAGCAUCCAGAAGUUUUUGUAGGAAGGUACAAAUGGAAGAAGAAAGAUACUGUGAAUAGGUCCUCAAACUUUACUUUAAAAAAAAAAAAAGAGGAAAAUCUUUGCCAGAUUUAAAAACAUUAUUUUGAUUCUUUCAGUAUUUUAAAUACCUUUUCAAAUAAAGUUAUUGAAAAGUACCCAGUAUUGUUGAAUUUAAUGUUUUAUGCCAUUACUGAUUCUUGAUAUUCAAGCAUUUUGAAGUUAGCAUAUUUGUUUUUCUUUUUUUUUCCAUCAUUAACAUUUCAUUUGAAAUGCAUAUCCUUUCUGAAAUAUUUUAUUUUUAGCAUAAAUGUUGUGCAUUUUAUCUUAGUGUUUGGAUUAAUCCAUUUGUGUUAUUUAGCUUUCUUUUAUUUGCUUUGUAUAUUAAUGUACCUUUUAUUUUCCAGUAUGCCUACUUUUUGUAUUGUACAAUAAAUUUAUUUUAAGCUGAUUUUAUUGGUUUUUUUUUAUAAAAGCAACUCCAGCAUUUUAAGUAUAACAAAUGGAAUUUUAACUUUAAAAGUCAUGCUUUAUGAAGAUAUAAUUAAAAUGCUUUAUAAUUUUAGUUAAUUCUGAGACUUCUGUGAAGAGAAACUAUAGAAAUACUCAAAGGCUUCAUUUGAUUCUCUUUUUUUUUUAAUGUAGUAUAGUGUUGGUGGGUUUUUUCUUACUUUCGGGGAGGAUGUUUUUCAAUUGGUUGUAUUAGAAGUAUUGAAUAAAGACUUUUUUCCUAA
rnacentral:lncRNA from 1 species